AGCUUUGCGCAGUGGCAGUAUCGUAGCCAAUGAGGUUUAUUCGAGGCGCGAUUAUUGCUAAUUAAAAUUACAUAUACCUAUUCAGCCUAUAUUAGCAACUUAUUUUUUUCUCUGUUAACAUGGAGUUAGAUACAUUUCAGUUUG